rnacentral:rRNA from 1 species
UGAGUAACCUGCCCUUGACUCUGGGAUAAGCCUGGGAAACCGGGUCUAAUACUGGAUAUGACUGCCGGCCGCAUGGUCUGGUGGUGGAAAGCUUUAUUGCGGUUUUGGAUGGACUCGCGGCCUAUCAGCUAGUUGGUGGGGUAAUGGCCUACCAAGGCGACGACGGGUAGCUGGUCUGAGAGGAUGGCCAGCCACAGUUGGGACUGCGACACGGCCCAGACCUCCCGUACGGGAGCAG